GGCCUAUUAGCUCAGUUGGUUAGAGCGUCGUGCUAAUAACGCGAAGGUUUAGGGUUUAGGGUCGAAGGUCGCAGGUUCGAGACAUGGAUGGGCCA
rnacentral:tRNA from 1 species